rnacentral:rRNA from 1 species
GAUGAACGCUAGCUACAGGCUUAACACAUGCAAGUCGAGGGGAAACGAUAUUGGAAGCUUGCUUCCGAUAGGCGUCGACCGGCGCACGGGUGAGUAACGCGUAUCCAACCUGCCCACCACUUGGGGAUAACCUUGCGAAAGUAAGACUAAUACCCAAUGAUAUCUCUAGAAGACAUCUGAAGGAGAUUAAAGAUUUAUCGGUGAUGGAUGGGGAUGCGUCUGAUUAGCUUGUUGGCGGGGUAACGGCCCACCAAGGCGAAGAUCAAUAGGGGUUCUGAGGGGAAGGUCCCCCACAUUGGAACUGAGAAACGGUCCAAACUCCUACAGGAGGCAGCAGUGAGGAAUAUUGGUCAAUGAGCGAGAGCGUGAACCAGCCAAGUAGCGUGCAGAAUGACGGCCCUAUGGGUUGUAAUCUGCUUUUAUAAGGGAAUAAAGUGAGCCUCGUGAGGCUUUUUGCAUGUACCUUAUGAAUAAGGACCGGCUAAUUCCGUGCCAGCCGCCGCCGUAA